CUAACCCCGCGAACGGGACGGUCGGAGGUCCUUAAGGAGUGGAUUGGUAACUGGGGUG
rnacentral:rRNA from 1 species